GAAACUGGGAGACUUGAGUGCAGGAGAGAAAAGUGGAAUUCCACGUGUAGCGGUGAAAUGCGUAGAGAUGUGGAGGAACACCAGUGGCGAAGGCGGCUUUUUGGCCUGUAACUGACGCUGAGGCGCGAAAGCGUGGGGAGCAAACAGGAUUAGAUACCCUGGUAGUCCACGCCGUAAACGAUGAGUGCUAGGUGUUGGGGGGUUCCACCCUCAGUGCUGAAGUUAACACAUUAAGCACUCCGCCUGGGGAGUACGACCGCAAGGUUGAAACUCAAAGGAAUUGACGGGGGCCCGCACAAGCAGUGGAGCAUGUGGUUUAAUUCGAAGCAACGCGAAGAACCUUACCAGGUCUUGACAUCCUCUGAUCACUCUAGAGAUAGAGCUUUCCCCUUCGGGGGACAGAGUGACAGGUGGUGCAUGGUUGUCGUCAGCUCGUGUCGUGAGAUGUUGGGUUAAGUCCCGCAACGAGCGCAACCCUUGACCUUAGUUGCCAGCAUUCAGUUGGGCACUCUAAGGUGACUGCCGGUGACAAACCGGAGGAAGGUGGGGAUGACGUCAAAUCAUCAUGCCCCUUAUGACCUGGGCUACACACGUGCUACAAUGGAUGGUACAAAGGGUUGCGAAGCCGCGAGGCCAAGCCAAUCCCAAAAAGCCAUUCUCAGUUCGGAUUGUAGGCUGCAACUCGCCUACAUGAAGCCGGAAUUGCUAGUAAUCGCGGAUCAGCAUGCCGCGGGAUACUUCCCGC
rnacentral:rRNA from 1 species